rnacentral:tRNA from 1 species
UAUCGAUAUCGGGUUUCGAUCCCGAGCUUCUUUCUUGAAAGGAAAGUGUCCUAAACCAUUAGACUAUAUCGAU